CCACUAUCUCCACCAUAAAGCCCAUUUAUUAAUUCCCACCACUAUCUCCACCAUAAUUCCCACCACUAUAUCUAUAUAUCUAUAUCUUUAUCUAUAUCAGUUUCUCUCUUCAUCUUUGCCAAAACCUACAGUUUCAAGCUCUUAAUCUAAUUCUCUCUAGCAUUUUCCCUUAAAAACCAACAAACACAACGUUCUGGCUUUAGGAAGUUACAAAUUUGUACCUUUCAUAUUCCUUCUCCCUCAACUUCUUUCUUUAUCUCUCUCUACGUUCUUCUCUCUGUCCCUCUAUCUAAAACACCAAAGCAACCUUCUCUCAUUCUACAACCCUUCCUUCUUCUUACCUCUUGCCUUUCUUUGAAUCUAACAACGAUGAAGAAGCAUGAUGGUUGAAUCCGAAUUGUUUAAAUUGGAACUAUUGACAGCGGUGUUGUUAAAGGCGAGAGUGGCCUUGAUGAUCGCCUCCUAGGUUGUUCGUUUCUCCAAUCCAGAAGACUAAGUCAUCCUGCACAAUGAUUUAAAGGCUUCCCAACAGAAAUUCAGUUUAAUUUAAGGUCAUCAAAGCUGUUGGCCAAUAUCCUGUACUCAUGGGCCUAUCUGUUGGGAACUUAAUUGCUUGAUGAGAUGAAAUGAUAAGUGUUUUUUCUUGAAUCGUCUUUUUGGGUUGCUUUGAAUUAAUCUAUUCUAUAGGUGUUCUUUUGGUGUUGCAUAACAUAUGCUAGAUGAAAUUUCUUUUAAAUUUGAUGUGAAAUCUUUCCAUUCAAAUUUUUUCCCCUCCUCAUGUUGUGAUAAAUCUAAGUAGCUAUACUAUGGUUGUAAAAAAUUAAUUUUUCUAUGCAAAUGAUUAAUUUGGUUAUAAUAGAAAUUUCCCAAAUAUAUUUAUUUAAAUAAAAGAUUAAUUUGAUUGUAGACAACUUAACUACUUUUAUGACUCCGUGAAUUGUCUAAUAUGUCAUUUACUACAACAAAUUUUGUGCUAAUUUUUUAUAGGUUUAAUUUUCUUUCUUGUUUGCUUUGCACUUCUUAUGAAUGGUUUAAUUUUUUUUUUUCAUUUCUUACUUUGACUAAUUUUGCUUAUUGUUGAUUUCAUCAAAGAGUAGUAUUACCAAUAAAAUAAAGGAAAAAAGAGAAAGGGAGAAUUGAGGUUGUGGGUCAUAAUAGGUAGGCUUUUUAUUUUUUAAUUUAUAAUUUUAAAUGUACUGUUAUGAUUUUAUGAGAUUGUUAUGCCACUUUGUAAAUUAUUAGCCAUUUUCUCUAACUUCAAAAUUUGGAAUGAUGUCUUCGGACUAUAUAAUGGUUGUUGGAGCAUCAAAGCCAACUGCAGUGGCUGAUGCUGAUAGGUAUUCCAGUAUGAAAAGGUAGAAUGUUGAUGAGUUUUAUUUAGUUUCAAUUUAUUUAUAAUGUAUAAAUUGUAUUUCACAUCUCCGACCUUAUGAAGUUUGACGAGUCCAAACAAGUUCCUAUAAGUACACUUUGGUGAGAUUUUUUAUCUUCAAAGAAUUGGCAUAACAAUUAUCAUGGAAUUUAUUGUAGCAUAGGAACUAUAAAGCAAUCUGCUAUACAUAGCCAUGAAUUUUGAUUGGGUAAAAUACUAUUUUGGUCCCUAAACUCUAAAAAAAAUUUGUUUUUCGUCCCUAAACUUUAAAAAGUUCUUUUUUCAUCCCUAAAAUUUGAAAAGAGUUUUUUUAAUGUUUAGAGACAAAAAUAGGAAUGAAAAAGGAACUUUUUAAAGUUUAGGGAUGAAAAACAAAUUUUUGUCAAAGUUUAGGAACCAAAAUAGUAAAAGGAACUGAUUUCAAUAAUCUAGGGAUGAAAAGUAAAGUUUAAGGACAUAAAUAAAACAUUUUCAAUAGUUUAGGGAUAAAAAACGAACUUUUCAAUAGUUUAGGGACGAAAAAUGAACUUCUUAAAGUUUAGGGAUGAAAAACAAAUUUUUGAUAAAGUUUUAGGACCAAAAUAGUAUUUUACCCAUUUUGAUUCUAUAUCUAUUAUACCAAGCAAUGAUUGAUGCUUUUGAAUGCUUCAGAUUCUAUCCACAAUUUGUCUGGUUUUCAUGGAUAAUCUAUUGUUUCAGGUUUAGGUUAUUCAUGAUACUCAGAUUCAGAGUUUGAACUUUUGGAUUAAGUUUACUGUAAAUGAUUGCAUCAUUGUGGUGUCUUUCAUUGCUUUGAGAAGUAAAUUUUGACUUGAACGAAUAAGAUGAACUAAAGUAUAUAUGAAUGAAAUAAGAUGCAUGUGGCUGUGUUGUCAAUUGCCAUUACUCGUAUUCUAUACCAGAUAUAAACUCUAUAAUGACGUAGCUUUUCAUUAUAACGAAUGGUCUUGGUUGAUGAAAGUGGAAAAUCACUACAGACAAAAAUCGAAACUGCUAUCUUUAUUUUGAACUCAUAUGUGCUCAAUUAGGAUUGAUAUAUAUUGGUCAUGGUGAGCAAAGAAAGCAAAACUUAUUUUUUAUUUUGCACACAUGCAUGCAAUGAAUAUAUGAACAAGAUGGCUUCAGUUAGUUUACCAGAUAAUGUCCUCCAACUCUUUUUCACAUUGCUUCACAAAAUUAACAUCUCAUGUUGAUGGUGUUUGAUGAUGUGUAAGGCUAUAAGAUGUUGAAACAUAAGAAACUCUAGGAUCUUUUGUUUUGGGUUUUGCAUAGUAAGAGCUUGCAAUUACAAAUGGCAAAACCCACCCACACUCCAAAAGGAAAAAAAGAAAA